GGGUUGUGAGGUUAAGCGACUAAGCGUACACGGUGGAUGCCCUGGCAGUCAGAGGCGAUGAAGGACGUGCUAAUCUGCGAAAAGCGUCGGUAAGGUGAUAUGAACCGUUACAGCCGGCGAUGUCCGAAUGGGGAAACCCAGUGCAAUUCGUUGCACUAUCGUUAACUGAAUACAUAGGUUAACGAGGCGAACCGGGGGAACUGAAACAUCUAAGUACCCCGAGGAAAAGAAAUCAACCGAGAUUCCCCCAGUAGCGGCGAGCGAACGGGGAGCAGCCCAGAGUCUGAAUCAGCUUGUGUGUUAGUGGAACGGUCUGGAAAGUCCGACGGUACAGGGUGAUAGUCCCGUACACCAAAAUGCACAGGCUGUGAACUCGAAGAGUAGGGCGGGACACGUGGUAUCCUGUCUGAAUAUGGGGGGACCAUCCUCCAAGGCUAAAUACUCCUGACUGACCGAUAGUGAACCAGUACCGUGAGGGAAAGGCGAAAAGAACCCCGGCGAGGGGAGUGAAAAAGAACCUGAAACCGUGUACGUACAAGCAGUGGGAGCACCUUCGGGUGUGACUGCGUACCUUUUGUAUAAUGGGUCAGCGACUUAUAUUCUGUAGCAAGGUUAACCGUAUAGGGGAGCCGCAGGGAAACCGAGUCUUAACUGGGCGUUAAGUUGCAGGGUAUAGACCCGAAACCCGGUGAUCUAGCCAUGGGCAGGUUGAAGGUUGGGUAACACUAACUGGAGGACCGAACCGACUAAUGUUGAAAAAUUAGCGGAUGACUUGUGGCUGGGGGUGAAAGGCCAAUCAAACCGGGAGAUAGCUGGUUCUCCCCGAAAGCUAUUUAGGUAGCGCCUCGUGAACUCAUCUUCGGGGGUAGAGCACUGUUUCGGCUAGGGGGUCAUCCCGACUUACCAACCCGAUGCAAACUACGAAUACCGAAGAAUGUUAUCACGGGAGACACACGGCGGGUGCUAACGUCCGUCGUGAAGAGGGAAACAACCCAGACCGCCAGCUAAGGUCCCAAAGUCAUGGUUAAGUGGGAAACGAUGUGGGAAGGCACAGACAGCCAGGAUGUUGGCUUAGAAGCAGCCAUCAUUUAAAGAAAGCGUAAUAGCUCACUGGUCGAGUCGGCCUGCGCGGAAGAUGUAACGGGGCUAAACCAUGCACCGAAGCUGCGGCAGCGACACGAUGUGUUGUUGGGUAGGGGAGCGUUCUGUAAGCCUGCGAAGGUGACCUGUGAGGGUUGCUGGAGGUAUCAGAAGUGCGAAUGCUGACAUAAGUAACGAUAAAGCGGGUGAAAAGCCCGCUCGCCGGAAGACCAAGGGUUCCUGUCCAACGUUAAUCGGGGCAGGGUGAGUCGACCCCUAAGGCGAGGCCGAAAGGCGUAGUCGAUGGGAAACAGGUUAAUAUUCCUGUACUUGGUGUUACUGCGAAGGGGGGACGGAGAAGGCUAUGUUAGCCGGGCGACGGUUGUCCCGGUUUAAGCAUGUAGGCUGGUUAUCCAGGCAAAUCCGGAUAAUCAAGGCUGAGGUGUGAUGACGAGGCACUACGGUGCUGAAGUAACAAAUGCCCUGCUUCCAGGAAAAGCCUCUAAGCAUCAGGUAACACGAAAUCGUACCCCAAACCGACACAGGUGGUCAGGUAGAGAAUACCAAGGCGCUUGAGAGAACUCGGGUGAAGGAACUAGGCAAAAUGGUGCCGUAACUUCGGGAGAAGGCACGCUGGUGUGUAGGUGAAGUCCCUGCGGAUGGAGCUGAGACCAGUCGAAGAUACCAGCUGGCUGCAACUGUUUAUUAAAAACACAGCACUGUGCAAACACGAAAGUGGACGUAUACGGUGUGACGCCUGCCCGGUGCCGGAAGGUUAAUUGAUGGGGUUAUCCGUAAGGAGAAGCUCUUGAUCGAAGCCCCGGUAAACGGCGGCCGUAACUAUAACGGUCCUAAGGUAGCGAAAUUCCUUGUCGGGUAAGUUCCGACCUGCACGAAUGGCGUAAUGAUGGCCAGGCUGUCUCCACCCGAGACUCAGUGAAAUUGAACUCGCUGUGAAGAUGCAGUGUACCCGCGGCAAGACGGAAAGACCCCGUGAACCUUUACUAUAGCUUGACACUGAACAUUGAGCCUUGAUGUGUAGGAUAGGUGGGAGGCUUUGAAGCGUGGACGCCAGUCUGCGUGGAGCCAACCUUGAAAUACCACCCUUUAAUGUUUGAUGUUCUAACGUUGGCCCCUUAUCGGGGUUGCGGACAGUGUCUGGUGGGUAGUUUGACUGGGGCGGUCUCCUCCCAAAGCGUAACGGAGGAGCACGAAGGUUAGCUAAUCCUGGUCGGACAUCAGGAGGUUAGUGCAAUGGCAUAAGCUAGCUUGACUGCGAGCGUGACGGCGCGAGCAGGUGCGAAAGCAGGUCAUAGUGAUCCGGUGGUUCUGAAUGGAAGGGCCAUCGCUCAACGGAUAAAAGGUACUCCGGGGAUAACAGGCUGAUACCGCCCAAGAGUUCAUAUCGACGGCGGUGUUUGGCACCUCGAUGUCGGCUCAUCACAUCCUGGGGCUGAAGUAGGUCCCAAGGGUAUGGCUGUUCGCCAUUUAAAGUGGUACGCGAGCUGGGUUUAGAACGUCGUGAGACAGUUCGGUCCCUAUCUGCCGUGGGCGCUGGAGAAUUGAGGGGGGCUGCUCCUAGUACGAGAGGACCGGAGUGGACGCAUCACUGGUGUUCGGGUUGUCAUGCCAAUGGCACUGCCCGGUAGCUAAAUGCGGAAGAGAUAAGUGCUGAAAGCAUCUAAGCACGAAACUUGCCCCGAGAUGAGUUCUCCCUGAGACUUUAAGUCUCCUGAAGGAACGUUGAAGACGACGACGUUGAUAGGCCGGGUGUGUAAGCGCAGCGAUGCGUUGAGCUAACCGGUACUAAUGAACCGUGAGGCUUAACCUUACAACGCCGAAG
rnacentral:rRNA from 1 species